GAUGAACGCUAGCUACAGGCUUAACACAUGCAAGUCGAGGGGAAACGAUAUUGGAAGCUUGCUUCCGAUAGGCGUCGACCGGCGCACGGGUGAGUAACGCGUAUCCAACCUGCCCAUCACUUGGGAAUAACCUUGCGAAAGUAAGACUAAUGCCCAAUGACAUUUAUAGAAGGCAUCUGAAAUGAAUUAAAGAUUUAUCGGUGAUGGAUGGGGAUGCGUCUGAUUAGCUUGUUGGCGGGGUAACGGCCCACCAAGGCGACGAUCAGUAGGGGUUCUGAGAGGAAGGUCCCCCACAUUGGAACUGAGACACGGUCCAAACUCCUACGGGAGGCAGCAGUGAGGAAUAUUGGUCAAUGGGCGAGAGCCUGAACCAGCCAAGUAGCGUGCAGGAAGACGGCCCUAUGGGUUGUAAACUGCUUUAUAGGGGAAUAAAGUGAGCCACGUGUGGUUUUUGCAUGUACCCUAUGAAUAAGGACCGGCUAAUUCCGUGCCAGCAGCCG
rnacentral:rRNA from 1 species